CAGGCAUCUGUUUGGAGCACAGAGCAACUGGGGGAAGGGAACCCAAAAAGCUAACACUUAUUUCAGAGAGGUGUGAGCUUGGUGAGCGUUUUGGAAAAUAAGAUAAAAUUAGCACACUAGUUUUAAAUGAUUUACAGGCUACAUAAUUUCAUCCAAUGCUUGUUUUAUCUUUUAAAUAUUAAGUGAUAACUUUUAUUUGACAUAAUCAUCUUGCUGGAAAUCUAUGCUGAUCAACAUAAUAGGAACUUGAAACUAACUUGGAGACUAGAGCUAAGAUUAAAAUUACAGAGAUGACAGCUCAUUGUACAGCGCAUCAAAAGGCUGAGAGAACAGGGCCCACAAACAGAAAGCAGCUCGACCGUCACCAUCAAGCAGCUUGACUAUCCACCAUCAGAGAAAUGAGAGUUUGUGAUCAAAGCAUGAAGGAGACUGGGGAUGUUUUUUUCAAGUAAGAAGGCAAAGACAGCCUCUUGAAUGAUGUGAACAGUGAUGGCUUUCUCCGAGAGUAAGACAAGAAAGCUUUGUAAAUGGCGUUGAAUUUCCUGCUCUUGGCAGGCCCUGCUCAGCACAGAAGAAAAGACUGAUCAGGUUGUCCAAGAUGGAGCCCUUUAUCCACGGUAGUCCACUUGUCUCUUUAAGAUUAAAGGAAAGCAAUCAUUAAAAA